rnacentral:rRNA from 1 species
AUUGAACGCUGGCGGAAUGCUUUACACAUGCAAGUCGAACGGCAGCACGGGGCAACCUGGUGGCGAGUGGCGAACGGGUGAGUAAUACAUCGGAACGUGCCCAAUCGUGGGGGAUAACGUAGCGAAAGUUACGCUAAUACCGCAUACGAUCUACGGAUGAAAGCGGGGGAUCGCAAGACCUCGCGCGAAUGGAGCGGCCGAUGUCAGAUUAGGUAGUUGGUGGGGUAAAGGCUCACCAAGCCGACGAUCUGUAGCUGGUCUGAGAGGACGACCAGCCACACUGGGACUGAGACACGGCCCAGACUCCUACGGGAGGCAGCAGUGGGGAAUUUUGGACAAUGGGCGCAAGCCUGAUCCAGCCAUUCCGCGUGCAGGAUGAAGGCCUUCGGGUUGUAAACUGCUUUUGUACGGAGCGAAAAGGCUCUCUCUCUAAUACAGGGGGCUCAUGACGGUACCGUAAGAAUAAGCACCGGCUAACUUCGUGCCAGCCGCCGCAGUAAGAC